GAAGACACACACACACACACACACACACCAGCCAGACACUGCGGGGCACACUGACACACAUGUACACAAAUAUACCCAUACACACAUGCGUAUGCAGGCUCUGAGGGACACGGUGGUUCACACACACACACACACACACACACAAACAGAGCUAUACACAGAGGUAUAACGCUGGCACACAGGCACACACACACCGAUGAGCAAAUCCAGUGACCCCUAAGCCUGCGUCUCACCCCCUCCUCCGAGCUCAGCCUCUGUCUGUUCUUGGCAGCCGGCGGAGGACCGGCACCGCCAUGCCCAGGCCAGCAGUGCCAGCAGAAGUGCCGCCUGGCUUUCCGGACGGCAGGAAGUUGCAAGGUUGGGUCUGAGCCAGGGGCCAGCCAGGGAGCCAGGGGCCUGGGCAAUGGACAAAUCUGGAAAAGGUGUCAGGGGUCACACCGGCCCAAUGAGUCAGGAUCCAGUGGCCCAUCAGUUGUCGAUGAUGACGCCAAUGAAGAGGUUGAGGGUGAAGAAGGAGCCGAAGAUGAUGAAGAUGACGAAAUAGAGGAUUAGAGACACAGACCCAGAAAAGAAGCCAACAGAGUCUUUGAAGCAGCAGGACCCUUGGGAAUGGCCUCCUGUGCACUGCCAGCGGUGGCCACCCAGGCCACCCUCAUUAUUUCAGGCUGAACUGAAUCUGAGAACUAUCUGUUUUCAGGGAGAAACUGUUCCAUGACCUCCAGACAAAGUGGGUGGCGCAAGCCCGGUGAUGCCCAGGGGAGCUCUACUCCUGGCUGGGGCACCAACCAGCUGCCAGGUCACUUUCUCUCUGGUGGGGAGGGGUCCCGGCUCCAGGGGUGGGACGGCCCAGUGCUGGCUGGCCUCUUGCAUGACCAGGAGGGAGCCACCAGGCUCUGUGCACUGCUGACCUGCAACCAGCUGCUUCAUGGAAGUUCGUCCCUCUAGCGUGGGUUUUGCUCCUAACAGACACCCCAACCCCCCACCCCCGCCCCUUGCCUGGGGAAGUCCCAUUGGUCUUGCCCAAACCCUGUAUUUACCUGUCACUUCCGCCCUCAAGGGCCUGAGGGAAGGGUGGGCAGGCUUGGAGUCCUGGGGGGCCCCAGUCUGAGGCUGGGGAGGGACACCUAUAAACCCACAGACCUGCUUUCCUUCCUCUCCUCCUGCCUCGGUGCCCUCAGGCCCCUCCUGGGAGCUGCUACAGCCUCUGCUGCCCCCAGUGGUGGAAGAGAUGAGCGAAGGAGGGGGCUGAGGGCGGGAAUGGGCACUUGGGCUGGUGUGGGAGGAUGCCUGGGGACCUCCGGACCUGGACCCCUGGUGGUGGCUGGAGUACAGACACCCGCAGCCCCCUUCCAAGCUGUGGCUGCUCCCCCAGUCCUUAGCCCUACUCAGAGUCCCCCUCGGCACCCACCCUCAUGCCCUGGAAUCUAGACAGUGCCCUCAGGGGACGCAGAGCCCUGAGUGUCCGCAGGGAUUUGAUGGGUCCCAGCUCCGAGUAGCCCAGCCAGUUGGCCACCAGGCUGAUGAUGGAGACCUGUAAUGGGAGGGGAGGGUGGUCAGGGAGAGCAGGGCCUCAGCCACAAGGACCGCCUGGGAUCUGACUGCGGGGCCGGGGGUGGGGCAGACUCACAUCCACGAUGAGGAAGUCGAGCCAGCACCAGGCGUUGGUGAAGUACACCUUGAAGCCAUAGGCCACCCACUUGAGCAGCAUCUCCAUGAUGAAGACGUAGGUGAAGACCUUGUCUGCGUAUUCCAGGAUGGUCCGGAUGACUCGCCGCUGCUCGAUGUAGAUGUCCUCGAAGGCCUGGGGGCACCAGCAGGGCAGGGUGGUCAGGGCCCAAAGGAGGCCAGGGCAGCAGCCACGUCCCUACCUGCCUAAGGCUGCUGGUUCCCAGGGUUCUGGCACCGGGGCCAGGCGGGGGCAGACUCCCCGUGCCCAUCAUGCGGGUGAGCCAGUGAGUUCCCGGUGGGGAGAAGCCCCUCAGCUCCCCUUCCCCAGGCCUAAUAAUAGUAACCCUCACUGGUCUGUCAGGGGGGUUCACCUUGACACAUCCUGCCCUCCCAACCCCCAAUUCCCAAGGCCUUCCCCACCUGAUCCCCGGCUGGGACCUGUCAGCUAAGGAUGCACAGGGAUUCAGAGCCCAUCUGUCUCUUUAAGAAA